rnacentral:SRP_RNA from 1 species
GCAAAGCACAGUGGCUUGUGCCUGUAAUCCCAGCAAGAGGAUCACUUGAUCUUGGGGGUUCUAAGGAUGCAGCAAGAUGUGCUGAUCAGGUGUCCACACUAAGUUCAACAUCAGUACGGAGAUCCAUGGGGAGCUGUAGGUCACUGGGUUGCUUAAAGAGGGGUGAACUGGCCCAGGUCAGAAAUGGAGCAGGUCAAACCUCCUGGACUGAUCAGUAUUGGGAUUGUACCUCUGAAUAGCUCCUGAAGGGAAGCCUGUACAAGACAGGGAGACCCA